UGGCAGGUCAGCAUACUGCCGUGAAUACGUUCCCGGGCCUUGUACACACCGCCCGUCACACCAUGAGAGUUGGGAAUACCCGAAGCCUGUGAGCUAACUAUACGAGGCAGCAGUCGAAGGUAGAAUCAAUGAUUGGGGUGAAGUCGUAACAAGGUAUC
rnacentral:rRNA from 1 species